UACAGAGGGUGCGAGCGUUAAUCGGAAUUACUGGGCGUAAAGCGUGCGUAGACGGUUAUGUAAGUUAGGUGUGAAAGCCCCGGGCUCAACCUGGGAAUUGCAUUUAAGACUGCAUAGCUAGGGUGCGGAAGAGGGAAGCGGAAUUUCCGGUGUAGCGGUGAAAUGCGUAGAUAUCGGAAGGAACAUCAGUGGCGAAAGCGGCAUACUGGGCAUUUUCUGACGCUGAGGAACGAAAGCUAGGGUAGCAAACGGG
rnacentral:rRNA from 1 species